AUAGGUCUCCUUUACAUGCUUGCAUGGGGUAGUUGCCUUAGUAUCGUGUUAUAUAAAGGAUGUUGAGUGGGCAGCCACUGGCUAGAAUUUCAAAAGAGAGGCAAAGUUUAAAACAAUAAGUUUAAAACGAUUCGGUCAUUUUGCACCCAGUUAAAUACAGUAUUCGAGUUAAUCCUUGGACGAAUAAGGCGAAAUGUAGCAAAAAGAAUGUCGAUAAACUGUAUGGACUUCUGGAAUUACAAGAAGUACCGGGUCACCGGGACAACAAGAACUCGCUACAGAUUUUGCAUAAUACAGGAAGUAUAUGCAAACCAUAGGGACGACUUUAUUCUAAACUUAGUUCAAUGCACUAUAUACACCACACAUAGGCCGGUCAGGAACUGCCAUCUUAAAGCCAGAACAACAGGAAAAGCGCAACCGAUAUAAAGGAACUUAUAUGAUUACAACAACUACAACGGGUUACUUUUAAUAACGACUACCGCGGUUCGUACAGUUACGCCAUCUUCAUUCCACUACGACAACCAGACAAUACAAGGCCGUAGCUAGCAACAGACAAACCGAGGCACUUGCCUAGAUGUUUAGCGCUUGCGUUCAUUCGGAGUCAGUUUGAUGACUUCGCUUCAGGAGUCCCUGGGUGAACAUCGCGGCAGCUAGACAGUGUUAGCCACUUUUCAGUGAGUUUAAACGAUUCAGAAUCGAAUUGCUGAGCUGAUCUUCAAUUCAAGAGCUCUCUUGAGGAAACCUCUGAAAAAAUCUGCUUGGAUUUUGGCGGACCUGUGCUGACGGGUGUACUAGUGAAGUGCUGGCCUGCAGUGCUCUGAAGACGACUGUACUCGAAGCGGGAAGUCAUGGCAGCGGUGAUUUGCUUGGUUUUAUUGUUCAUCACCGCGUUUGGAUGCGGAUCUUGUGAAAGAUCAACGCAAUGUUUCGAGAGCUGUGUUUCUAAGAUUCCAGACGAACCUCAGCUUUGUAAUGACACUUGUCUUCAGUUGCUAAAUAUAUACUCAGGUUAGUGAGUACAAAGUCUACCGAGAAGAUUGUAAACUCAACGAUGAAGAUGAAGACCAAAGCACGUUUGUCAGUCUCAAGAUACAUGUGUUUACGUUAGUUUUAAAACUUUGCUUUGAACCUUCUGUAGCCAACAACAUCACUACCAACGUCACCACUGUAUCACCGCCGACACCAGAUGAACCUGUGUUGCUUUCAUCCGGGUACUUUACCUUCAACCUGGACUGGAGAAAUUACAAUGAAAUCAAAUACAACGCUUCGCCAGUUGUUUAUGUUCUGGAAGUUACUCGCCAUGAGAACAUCACUGACCCAUUUGUCAUCUUGCCCCUCAUACAGAAAUAUCACACGACGACAAACACGAAUUUCACCAUCCCGGAAGAAUUCGUCACCAAGACAAACUUCUCGUUCCGUUUGGCAGUGGUUGCACUCCAAGGGACUUCGAACUUCUCAUCACCAAGUCCUCUAUAUACAACAAACAGUAAGUU
rnacentral:lncRNA from 1 species